GCCCACAUAGCUCAGAUGGUAGAGCACGUCCUUGGUAAGGACGAGGUCACCGGUUCAAUUCCGGUUGUGGGCUCCA
rnacentral:tRNA from 1 species